rnacentral:rRNA from 1 species
AGUGAACGCUGGCGGUAGGCCUAACACAUGCAAGUCGAACGGCAGCACAGUAAGAGCUUGCUCUUACGGGUGGCGAGUGGCGGACGGGUGAGGAAUACAUCGGAAUCUACUUUUUCGUGGGGGAUAACGUAGGGAAACUUACGCUAAUACCGCAUACGACCUACGGGUGAAAGCAGGGGUUCUUCGGACCUUGCGCGAUUGAAUGAGCCGAUGUCGGAUUAGCUAGUUGGCGGGGUAAAGGCCCACCAAGGCGACGAUCCGUAGCUGGUCUGAGAGGAUGAACAGCCACACUGGAACUGAGACACGGUCCAGACUCCUACGGGAGGCAGCAGUGGGGAAUAUUGGACAAUGGGCGCAAGCCUGAUCCAGCCAUACCGCGUGGGUGAAGAAGGCCUUCGGGUUGUAAAGCCCUUUUGUUGGGAAAGAAAAGCAGCAGGUUAAUACCCCGCUGUUCUGACGGUACCCAAAGAAUAAGCACCGGCUAACUUCGUG